rnacentral:rRNA from 1 species
AUAUCAAUAAGCGGAGGAAAAGAAACCAACAGGGAUUGCCUCAGUAACGGCGAGUGAAGCGGCAACAGCUCAAAUUUGAAAUCUGGCUCUUUUAGAGCCCGAGUUGUAAUUUGUAGAGGAUGCUUCGGCGUCGGCUCCGGUCUAAGUUCCUUGGAACAGGACGUCACAGAGGGUGAGAAUCCCGUAUGUGAUCGGUUGCCUUUGCCAUGUGAGGCUCCUUCGACGAGUCGAGUUGUUUGGGAAUGCAGCUCUAAAUGGGAGGUAAAUUUCUUCUAAAGCUAAAUACCGGCCAGAGACCGAUAGCGCACAAGUA